AUGUUUACUUGGCAGGUGAAAUACCUUGAUAACAAAGAGGUGGGGAUGCUAAAGGAAAAGCUAUGUCUGUUAAGCUGUGGGUGUGUUGACCUCUGUGAUUUCCCUGACUGCUAGAAACUCAGCUGCAGAAUUUUUGGUACUGGGGACUCUGUUCAUGCUUUCCCCU
ensembl:snRNA U1 U1 spliceosomal RNA